AGAAAGAUUGAAAGAGAGCUUGAGAGAGAUUGAGAUAUAUUGAUGAAUUUGUGAAUUAAAAUGAAAGAAUGAGGGGGUAUUUAUAGUUGAUAAAUGGAAAAAUUGUGUAAUUAUAUAAAGUUUGGGGGGGAGGGGGUUAAAUGGCUAUUUUUGAAAAUUCCAAACGGCUAAUUUUGAAAAAGAGCCGUUUGAAAUUUAAAAAAAAAAU
rnacentral:lncRNA from 1 species